GACGGGGACCCGCACAAGCGGUGGAUGAUGUGGAUUAAUUCGAUGCAACGCGAAAACCUUACCUACCCUUGACAUCCCGGAAUCCCUUGGAAACAAGGGAGUGCCCUUCGGGGAACCUGGAGACAGGUGCUGCAUGGCUGUCGUCAGCUCGUGUCGUGAGAUGUAGGGUUAAGUCCCGCAACGAGCGCAACCCUUGUCUUUAAUUGCCAUCAUUGAGUUGGGCACUUUAAAGAGACUGCCGGUGUUAAACCGGAGGAAGGUGGGGAUGACGUCAAGUCCUCAUGGCCCUUAUAGGUGGGGCUACACACGUCAUACAAUGGAUGGUACAAAGGGUCGCCAACCCGCGAGGGGGAGCCAAUCCCAUAAAGCCAUUCGUAGUCCGGAUCGCAGUCUGCAACUCGACUGCGUGAAGUCGGAAUCGCUAGUAAUCGUGGAUCAGAAUGUCACGGUGAAUACGUUCCCGGGUCUU
rnacentral:rRNA from 1 species